UUUAAGCUAAGAAUCUAAAUAAAGCAAGAAAAUUGUCAUUAAAUAUUUUAGUUUUAGGUAAAAUUUAAACCUAAAUUUAUUUAUAUAGUAAAAUUUCAAAUCUUAAGAGAUAAACAAGGAUUAGAUACCCUUCUAUACUUAAGACCUUUGAGCAGGGUAGUAACUAGCUAUGUUCUUCAAACCCAAAGGAUUUGGCGGUGCUCUAUAUAAUUAGAGGAACCUGUAAAGUAAUCGAAAUUACGCGCUGUAUCUUACCAAAGUUAAGCUUGUAUACCGUCGUCUAGGUAGUUCUAAAAAGGCUUGCCUAACUGAGAUAUAUACAUGGCAGAUCAAGGUGCAGCUUGCUUUGGUUAUUAUGGGUUACAAUCUAAAUAUAGAUAGAAGAGGAAAGUAAGGUAGCCUCUGAAAUAGGAUUUAAUAGUAAUUUAAGUUUAAUACACUAAAAUAAAAUUUCCAUAGAGCAUGUACAUAUCGCCCGUCACUCUCAUCNCCU
rnacentral:rRNA from 1 species